AUGGGGCCCCCGAUCACACACUGGGUCUCUUUAGCACCAAGUGAACUGGGGGCCCUGAUGCUGCUCGUGCUGCCCCAGUGCCACGCUAGGGCCUGUGCUGCACGGAGCGGGGCAGGGCUCAGUGGGGCUGUGUCUCAUGGCCUCGCUCUCUCUCCCUUUGCAGCUAGUGCCAUGGCCCCGUCUGUCUUCCCCCUGACCUCCUGCACCGGCGAAGUCACCACCUCCCAGGUCACCUUUGGCUGCCUGGCCCAAGGCUACUUCCCCGAGCCGGUCACCGUGACAUGGAGCCCCAACGUCGGCUCCUCGGGCGUGAGGACCUAUCCCUCCGUGCUGCAACCUUCCAGCAGCCUCUACUCGCUCAGCAGCCAGGUCACCGUCCCGGCCAGCAGCUGGACGUCUAACACCUAUAACUGCACCGUAGAGCACCAGCCCACCAGCUCCAGCAUGUCCAAGGAAAUCCCAAAGCCCCCCAAACCCCAGGCCCCCAUUACACCCAAGAUGAAAAUCGUCUCCAACACCAGCCGAGACCCCGUCCAGCUGGCGUGCUUCAUCUCCGGCUUCUACCCUGAGAAUUUGACGGUGGAAUGGAUGGAAUGGAUGGUUGACGGCCAGCCCAGGAAACUUCCUAGUGUCACUGCCCUUGCCACGAAGGACCCCAACGGCCCCACCUACAGCACCCACUGCAAUGCCAGUGUCUCCAAGGCCGACUGGCGAAAGGUCUACUUAUACACGUGCCAGGUGUCCCAGCCGGGCACCCCCGUCAAAUCGCAGGGCCACACCAACAAGUGCAGAGAAGAAACAUCUCCCGGCGAUAUCCAGGUCUUCCUGGUGCCCCCGUCUCCCGCCGACUUGUACGUGGCCCAGAGCCCCAUGCUCACCUGCCUGGUGGUCAACCUGCCUAGCAACUCCGGCCUCCAGGUGGUCUGGUCCCGGGAGAAGACAGAGUCUGUUGUCCCUGAACCCCUGACCCUCACUGAGCAGUUCAACAGCACCUUCACCGCCUCCAGCUCCAUGCCCAUCUUCACCCGCGACUGGGAGGCCGGAGAGACCUUCACCUGCAAAGUGGAGCACUCAGAGCUGCCCUCGUCCCUCACCAAAUCGAUGUCCAAGAAGCCAGGCAGGCGCUCUGGCCCUGGCAUCUACCUCCUGCACCCCCACAAUGAGGAGUUGAGCAGCUCUAGAGACUCCAUCAGCCUCACCUGUCUGGUGCGGGGCUUUUUCCCCGAGGACAUCUCAGUGCAGUGGAUGAAGAACCACAAACCCGAUGAGAGCUUGGAAUAUAUCACCACUCCGACCAUCAAGGACGGAGCAGGCGACUCGAACUUCUUCCUCUACAGCAAGCUGAAAGUCAGCAAGGCCAGCUGGAACAGAGGGGACGUCUACACCUGCAUGGUCACCCACGAAGCCCUGCAGAUGAAGUUCACCCAACGCAGCAUCAGCAAAGUCUCUGGUAAAUGAAGAAGGCUCCUCCCAGCCCCACUGCUAGCACUGUCCUGUACAGCUUCCUGUAAAUAAUCUCUGUGCC